CCUACGGGAGGCAGCAGUAAGGAAUAUUGGACAAUGCUCGCAAGAGUGAUCCAGCCAUGCCGCGUGCAGGAAGAAUGCCCUAUGGGUAGUAAACUGCUUUUGAACUAGAGAAAACCCUACUACGAGUAGUAGGCUGAUAGUAUAGUUAGAAUAAGCAUCGGCUAACUUCGUGCCAGCAGCCGCGGUAAGACGAAGGAUGCAAGCGUUAUCCGGAUUCAUUGGGUUUAAAGGGAGCGUAGGUGGACAUAUAAGUCAGUGGUGAAAUCUCCGAGCUUGACUCGGAAAUUGCCAUUGAUACUGUUUGUCUUGAGUACAGUUGCUGUGGGCGGAAUAUGACAUGUAGUGGUGAAAUACAUAGAGAUGUCAUAGAACACCGAUUGCGAAGGCAGCUCACAAAGCUGUAACUGACACUGAGNUCGAAGUAGNGGAGUACAACAGAUAGAUACCUCGUAGUCGCACUGUAACG
rnacentral:rRNA from 1 species